UACGUAGGGUGCGAGCGUUAAUCGGAAUUACUGGGCGUAAAGCGUGCGCAGGCGGCUUUGCAAGACAGAUGUGAAAUCCCCGGGCUCAACCUGGGAACUGCAUUUGUGACUGAAAGGCUAGAGUACGGCAGAGGGGGAUGGAAUUCCGCGUGUAGCAGUGAAAUGCGUAGAUAUGCGGAGGAACACCAAUGGCGAAGGCAAUCCCCUGGGCCUGUACUGACGCUCAUGCACGAAAGCGUGGGGAGCAAACAGG
rnacentral:rRNA from 1 species